UGGAAGGUCCNUAAACCGAAAGGGGCUCUGCCCGCCCGAGGAUGGGCCGGCGGCCGAUUAGGUAGUUGGUGGGGUAACGGCCCACCAAGCCCAUAAUCGGUACGGGCAGUGAGAGCUGGAGCCCGGAGAUGGACACUGAGACACGGGUCCAGGCCCUACGGGGCGCAGCAGGCGCGAAACCUCCGCAAUGCUNGAAAGAGCGACGGGGGGACCCCAAGUGCCGUGGUACAACCACGGCUUUUCCGGAGUGUAAGAAGCUCCGGGAAUAAGGGCUGGGCAAGGCCGGUGGCAGCCGCCGCGGUAAUACCGGCGGCCCGAGUGGUGGCCACUAUUAUUGGGCCUAAAGCGUCCGUAGCCGGGCUUGUAAGUCCCUGGCGAAAUCCCACGGCUCAACCGUGGGGCUUGCUGGGGAUACUGCAAGCCUUGGGACCGGGAGAGGCCGGGGGUACUCCUGGGGUAGGGGUGAAAUCCUAUAAUCCCAGGAGGACCGCCAGUGGCGAAGGCGCCCGGCUGGAACGGGUCCGACGGUGAGGGACGAAGGCCAGGGGAGCAAACCGGAUUAGAUACCCGGGUAGUCCUGGCUGUAAAGGAUGCGGGCUAGGUGUUGCUUGGACCUCGAGUNCAAGCAGUGCCGCAGGGAAGCCGUUAAGCC
rnacentral:rRNA from 1 species